rnacentral:rRNA from 1 species
UACAGAGGUGGCAAGCGUUGUUCGGAAUUACUGGGCGUAAAGGGCGCGUAGGCGGCCUUCUAAGUCAGACGUGAAAUCCCUCGGCUUAACCGGGGAACUGCGUCUGAUACUGGAUGGCUUGAGUUUGGGAGAGGGAUGCGGAAUUCCAGGUGUAGCGGUGAAAUGCGUAGAUAUCUGGAGGAACACCGGUGGCGAAGGCGGCAUCCUGGACCAACACUGACGCUGAGGAGCGAAAGCUAGGGGAGCAAACAGG